rnacentral:rRNA from 1 species
UAGGUAGGUGGUCUCAUUUGUCUGGGGUGAAAGCCUCGAGCUUAACUCGAGAAGUGCCCCGGAAACGGUGAGACUGGAGUCUUGGAGAGGGUCGUGGAAUUCCCGGUGUAGCGGUGAAAUGCGUAGAGAUCGGGAGGAACACCAGCGGCGAAGGCGGCGACCUGGACAAGUACUGACACUCAACUACGAAAGCGUGGGGAGCAAACAGGAUUAGAUACCCUGGUAGUCCACGCUGUAAACGAUGGGUACUAGGUUUGGUGGGUCUUGACCCCCGCCGAACCGGCGCUAACGCAAUAAGUACCCCGCCUGGGAAGUACGGUCGCAAGACUAAA